UUUGUAUAUAGGCAAACUUAUCGAAAGGUAAGGACGCAAAGCCAAGGGCCUAAUACAACUAUUUGUAAUGGUAGCCGGUUACCAAG
rfam:Sporosarcina psychrophila strain DSM 6497, complete genome.